rnacentral:rRNA from 1 species
UCGAUAAGCCAUUGGAGGGCAAGUCUGGUGCCAGCAGCCGCGGUAAUUCCAGCUCCAAUAGCGUAUAUUAACGUUGUUGCAGUUAAAAAGCUCGUAGUUGAAGUGAGGGAGUGUGUGUUGUGAUCGAAUCGAUCGAGAGCAGUACAACCUCCCCCUUCCAAUGGGUGUAUUGGGGUAUUCAUUUACUUCAUUACUCCUUUGGUCGUUUACUGUGAGAAAAUUAGAGUGUUCAAAGCGGGCGUUUGUUUGAAUAGAUUAGCAUGGAAUAAUGAUUGAAGGCUUUCGUGUUCGAUUUGAUUGGUUUGUUCAUGGAAGCAAGGUUAAAAGGAACAGUUGGGGGUAUUCAUAUUCACUAGUUAGAGGUGAAAUUCUCGGAUUUAUGGAAGAUGAACAAGGCCGAAAGCAA